rnacentral:rRNA from 1 species
GCGCCAGCAGUUGCGAAAACUUGUCAAUGCACGAAAGUGUGAACGGGCUACCCCGAGUGCCGUCCGCUGAGGAUGGCUUUUCUCUGCUGUAAGAAGGCAGAGGAAUAAGGAGAGGGCAAGUCUGGUGUCAGCCGCCGCGGUAAUACCAGCUCUCCGAGUGGUAGGGAUGAUUAUUGGGCUUAAAGCGUCCGUAGCCGGCUCAGCAAGUCUCCCGUUAAAUCCAACGAUUCAAUCGUUGGACUGCGGGAGAUACUGUUAGGCUAGGGGGCGGGAGAAGCCGACGGUAUUUCCGGGGUAGGGGUAAAAUCCUAUAAUCCCGGGAAGACCACCAGUGGCGUAGGCGGUCGGCUAGCACGCGCUCGACAGUGAGGGACGAAAGCUGGGGUAGCGAACCGGAUUAGAUACCCGGGUAGUCC